ACGAACGCUGGCGGCAUGCCUAACACAUGCAAGUCGAACGAGACCUUCGGGUCUAGUGGCGCACGGGUGCGUCACGCGUGGGAACCUGCCCUUAGGUUCGGAAUAACUCCCCGCAAGGGGUGCUAAUACCGGAUAAUGUCUUCGGACCAAAGAUUUAUCGCCUUUGGAUGGGCCCGCGUUGGAUUAGCUAGUUGGUAGGGUAAAAGCCUACCAAGGCGACGAUCCAUAGCUGGUCUGAGAGGAUGAUCAGCCACACUGGGACUGAGACACGGCCCAGACUCCUACGGGAGGCAGCAGUGGGGAAUAUUGGACAAUGGGCGAAAGCCUGAUCCAGCAAUGCCGCGUGAGUGAUGAAGGCCUUAGGGUUGUAAAGCUCUUUUACCCGGGAUGAUAAUGACAGUACCGGGAGAAUAAGCUCCGGCUAACUCCGUG
rnacentral:rRNA from 1 species